CCCAAAUCCGCCCCGAUUCACCCCAAAUUCCCCACCUUGCUGAGCUCCGUCUCCGCUCCCAGGCGGUCGAACACCGACGUCCUCUGCAGAGCUGGGGCUGCAGGGCUGUGCCGUAUGCGGGGGUUCAGCACUGCGGCGUCGGCUGCAACGCGGCGCAGCUUUGGGGGCACCGGGGGGGAACUGUGGUUGGGGACGGUGAUGGAGAUGGAGGUGGGGUCGCGGCUGAGGCUGUUGGCGAUCAUCCGUCCGGCGGCGCUGUUGGCGCAGCGCCGCGGCUCCGGGGGGGCGCUGGGGGGGGUCAGCGCCUCUGUGGCUGCACGGCACAUCUCCUGCCUGUAGGCCACCUUGGCGUGUUUGAGGAUGGCGAUGACGUCGCCCACCAACGUGAUGCCCAACUCAUGCAUCAGCUCCUUGGUCAGGUCCAGCAGCAUGUGCUUGUGGAUGCGAUUGUCCACGAAGGUGACGGCGUAACUGACAGCGGGGCCAGGGGGGAUCCCCGCCUCCCGGAAGAACUGAAUCCACUCUGAGGUGGCCAUCGUCACCGACGUCGCAGCUCUGCCAUCACUGAGCGCCUGAAAUGGGGGGGGACGGGGAGGGGCUGCCCCAUAGGGACCCCUGCCCCACACGGACCCCUCCCCCGCCCCAUCGCGGCGCCUCGCACCCUCCG
rnacentral:lncRNA from 1 species